AUGUUUCUCUCUUCGUUUCUCUCUCUGUUUCUCUCUGUUUCUCUGUUUCUCUCUCUGUUUCUCUCUGUUUCUCUGUUUCUCUCUCUGUUUCUCUCUCUGUUUCUCUGUUUCUCUCUCUGUUUCUCUCUCUAUUUCUCUCUGUUUCUCUGUUUCUCUCUGUUUCUCUCUCUAUUUCUCUCUGUUUCUCUGUUUCUCUCUGUUUCUCUCUCUAUUUCUCUCUGUUUCUCUGUUUCUCUCUGUUUCUCUCUCUAUUUCUCUCUGUUUCUCUGUCUGUUUCUCUCUCUGUUUCUCUCUCUGUUUCUCUCUCUGUUUCUCUCUCUAUUUCUCUCUGUUUCUCUGUUUCUCUGUCUGUUUCUCUCUCUGUUUCUCUCUCUAUUUCUCUCUGUUUCUCUGUUUCUCUCUCUGUUUCUCUCUGUUUCUCUCUCUGUUUCUCUCUGUUUCUCUCUGUUUCUCUGUUUCUCUGUCUGUUUCUCUCUCUGUUUCUCUCUCUAUUUCUCUCUGUUUCUCUGUUUGUCUCUCUGUUUCUCUCUGUUUCUCUCUCUGUUUCUCUCUGUUUCUCUCUGUUUCUCUCUCUAUGUUUCUCUCUCUAUUUCUCUCUGUUUCUCGGUCUGUUUCUCUCUCUAUUUCUCUCUAUUUCUCUCUGUUGCUCUCUGUUUCUCUCUCUGUUUCUGUCUGUUUCUCUCUCUGUUUCUCUCUGUUUCUCUCUCUGUUUCUCUCUGUUUCUCUCUGUUUCUCUCUCUGUUUCUGUCUGUUUCUCUGUUUCUCUGUCUGUUUCUCUCUCUAUUUCUCUCUAUUUCUCUCUGUUUCUCUCUGUUUCUCUCUCUGUUUCUCUCUGUUUCUCUCUGUUUCUCUCUGUUUCUCUCUCUGUUUCUCUCUCUGUUUCUCUCUCUGUUUCUCUCUGUUUCUCUCUCUGUCUCUCUCUGUUUCUCUCUGUUUCUCUCUGUUUCUCUCUCUGUCUCUCUCUGUUUCUCUCUGUUUCUCUCUCUGUUUCUCUCUGUUUCUCUCUCUGUUUCUCUCUGUUUCUCUCUGUUUCUCUGUUUCUCUCUAUUUCUCUCUGUCUCUCUCUGUUUCUCUCUGUUUCUCUCUGUUUCUCUCUGUUUCUCUCUCUGUUUCUCUCUCUGUUUCUCUCUGUUUCUCUCUGUUUCUCUGUUUCUCUCUCUAUUUCUCUCUGUUUCUCUGUUUCUCUCUCUAUUUCUCUCUGUUUCUCUCUGUUUCUCUCUGUUUCUCUCUCUGUUUCUCUCUCUGUUUCUCUCUCUGUUUCUCUGUUUCUCUCUCUAUUUCUCUCUGUUUCUCUCUGUUUCUCUCUGUUUCUCUCUCUGUUUCUCUCUCUGUUUCUCUCUGUUUCUCUCUGUUUCUCUCUGUCUCUCUCUGUUUCUCUCUGUUUCUCUCUCUGUUUCUUUCUGUUUCUCUCUCUGUCUCUCUCUGUUUCUCUCUGUUUCUCUCUCUAUUUCUCUCUGUCUCUCUCUGUUUCUCUCUCUGUCUCUCUCUGUUUCUCUCUGUUUCUCUCUCUGUCUCUCUCUCUCUCCCUCUGUUUCUCUCUCUGUUUCUCUCUCUGUUUCUCUCUCUCUCUCCCUCUGUUUCUCUCUCUGUUUCUCUCUCUCUCUCCCUCUGUUUCUCUCUCUGUUUCUCUCUCUCUCUCCCUCUGUUUCUCUCUCUGUUUCUCUCUCUCUCCCUCUGUUUCUCUCUCUGUUUCUCUCUCUGUUUCUCUGUAUCUUUGUUUCUCACUCUGUUUCUCUCUCUGUUUCUCUCUCUGUUUCUCUCUCUGUUUCUCUCUGUUUCUCUCUCUGUUUCUCUGUAUCUUUGUUUCUCUCUCUGUUUCUCUCUCUGUUUCUCUCUCUGUUUCUCUCUGUUUCUCUCUCUGUUUCUCUCUCUGUUUCUCUCUCUGUUUCUCUGUUUGUUUCUCUGUCUGUUUCUCUCUCUGUUUCUCUCUCUGUUUCUCUGUAUCUUUGUUUCUCUCUCUCUCUCUCCCUCUGUUUCUCUGUUUCUCUGUCUGUUUCUCUGUUUGUUUCUCUGUCUAUUUCUCUGUAUCUUUGUUUCUCUCUCUGUUUCUCUCUCUGUUUCUCUCUCUGUUUCUCUGUAUCUUUGUUUCUCUCUCUGUUUCUCUCUCUGUUUCUCUCUCUGUUUCUCUGUAUCUUUGUUUCUCUCUCUGUUUCUCUCUCUGUUUCUCUGUAUCUUUGUUUCUCUCUCUGUUUCUCUCUCUGUUUCUCUCUGUUUCUCUCUGUUUCUCUCUCUGUUUCUCUCUGUUUCUCUCUGUUUCUCUGUUUCUCUGUCUGUUUCUCUCUCUGUUUCUCUCUCUGUUUCUCUCUGUUUCUCUCUACUUCUCUCUCUGUUUCUCUCUGUUUCUCUCUCUGUUUCUCUCUCUGUUUCUCUCUCUGUUUCUCUGUUUGUUUCUCUCUCUGUUUCUCUCUCUCUCUCCCUCUGUUUCUCUCUCUGUUUCUCUCUCUCUCUCCCUCUGUUUCUCUCUCUGUUUCUCUCUCUCUCUCCCUCUGUUUCUCUCUCUGUUUCUCUCUCUCUCUCCCUCUGUUUCUCUCUCUGUUUCUCUCUCUCUCUCCCUCUGUUUCUCUCUCUGUUUCUCUCUACUUCUCUCUCUGUUUCUCUCUCUGUUUCUCUCUCUCUCUCCCUCUGUUUCUCUCUCUGUUUCUCUCUCUCUCUCCCUCUGUUUCUCUCUCUGUUUCUCUGUAUCUUUGUUUCUCUCUCUGUUUCUCUCUGUCUCUCUCUGUUUCUCUCUCUGUUUCUCUCUCUGUUUCUCUCUGUUUCUCUCUCUGUUUCUCUCUGUUUCUCUCUGUUUCUCUCUCUGUUUCUCUGUCUGUUUCUCUGUCUGUUUCUCUCUGUUUCUCUCUGUUUCUCUCUCUGUUUCUCUCUCUGUUUCUCUCUGUUUCUCUUCUCUCUCUGUUUCUCUCUGUUUCUCUCUCUGUCUCUCUCUGUUUCUCUCUCUGUUUCUCUCUCUGUUUCUCUCUCUGUUUCUCUCUCUGUUUCUCUCUCUGUUUCUCUCUCUCUCUCCCUCUGUUUCUCUCUCUGUUUCUCUCUCUGUUUCCGACAUUUUCGGACCACUAA
rnacentral:lncRNA from 8 species